GGAUUAGGCAUGCAAGUCGAGCGAGAAGUUCCUUCGGGAACGGACAGCGGCGAAAGGGAGAGGAAUACGUAGAAAUCUACCCCCGAGACCGGGAUAGCGUCGGGAAACUGGCAGUAAUACCGGAUAAUGUCUUCGGACCAAAGGUGUGAUUCCACUCGGGGAUGAGUCUACGCCCUAUUAGCUAGUUGGUGGGGUAAUGGCCUACCAAGGCGAUGAUGGGUAGCGGGUGUGAGAGCAUGACCCGCCUCACUGGGACUGAGAACUGCCCAGACACCUACGGGUGGCUGCAGUCGAGAAUCUUUGUCAAUGGACGAAAGUCUGAACAAGCGANCNCCGCGUGCGGGAUGAAGGCCUUCGGGUU
rnacentral:rRNA from 1 species